UUCCGUAACCGUAUAAACCAACCAUUUCAAUAACAGCAAAUCAAUCUGACCAAUAAAACCCCAAAUUGGUUGAAGGCCGUUUCUCAACCUCUCACAAAGUCACAAGGUGUGUCUAAUGACCUCAACAGAACGCCUGUCUCAUCAGUGCAAAAUCCUUCAGCUGGGGGUGGGUGGGGUCGGACUAGAAGACCUCCCGGGUCCCUUCCAACUCUCUUAUUCUCUAUUCUGCAAGGGGUAACGUAAGUUCAGCCGUGUGUUGGUUGAAAACGUCUCGCUUCCAUGCUGAUGGCAUGCCCUGGGCUUUUUUUCCGAAAAGGAGACAUCAUCCUUCAUGCACGGUCCAGGCACAGAAUGUUUUGGGGUGGGCAUUAAAGCUUUAUGAGGAGUGGUAUGGUGGCCUAGAGCCGCGAGUUCGAUCCUAUGUAGGGGCAGAUGUUUCUCUGAGCACAAUGAGAAUAUAUCUACUGAAUAAAACUCCGCAUUGGUGACAGGAAAGGCAUCCAGCCAGUAAAAAAUCAGGUCUGUUUAGUUGCCCAGACCUCCACCCCACAAGGGAUUAUGGGGGUCAUUAAAAGAAGACGAUUAAAGCUUUAUGAGGUUCCCUGCAGGUUUCUGAAUCUUUUUCCAAUUAAAUCCGGUGACCGGGCAAUCGUUUCGGCGCUGGAUGAAAAGACAGGUUAAAAAGCAAAUCAAACUUUUCUAAACCUUAUUAUUUUCCCCUGUUCACGUUGGACCUGUUUACUUCCUCAACAGACCUUGACUCUGUCAUGGCAAAAGGAUCGAUCGGUUGCCAUACAGAAUCCACCUAGAUCUGACAUUAAUUAUGAGUAUCACAGUGUUUUGGAAAAAAACUUUUUAUUUUGGCGUAGUAAUAAAUACUCAGGACCUAAAGGGGCAAUCGCUGCCUCCAGGAAAAAGCCCAGCUUGCAAUGGAUGGAGAUGAAAUUGUAGGCGGACAUCUGAAAAAAAAAAAA